AGUGAACGCUGGCGGUAGGCCUAACACAUGCAAGUCGAACGGCAGCACAGUAAGAGCUUGCUCUUACGGGUGGCGAGUGGCGGACGGGUGAGGAAUACAUCGGAAUCUACUUUUUCGUGGGGGAUAACGAAGGGAAACUUACGCUAAUACCGCAUACGACCUACGGGUGAAAGCAGGGGAUCUUCGGACCUUGCGCGAUUGAAUGAGCCGAUGUCGGAUUAGCUAGUUGGCGGGGUAAAGGCCCACCAAGGCGACGAUCCGUAGCUGGUCUGAGAGGAUGAUCAGCCACACUGGAACUUAGACACGGUCCAGACUCCUACGGGAGGCAGCAGUGGGGAAUAUUGGACAAUGGGCGCAAGCCUGAUCCAGCCAUACCGCGUGGGUGAAGAAGGCCUUCUGGUUGUAAAGCCCUUUUGUUGGGAAAGAAAAGCAGCAGGUUAAUACCCCGCUGUUCUGACGGUACCCAAAGAAUAAGCACCGGCUAACUUCGUG
rnacentral:rRNA from 1 species